GAUGAAAACGUAGCGAAAUGCGAUACGUAAUGUGAAUUGCAAAUUCAGUGAAUCAUCGAGUCUUUGAACGCACAUUGCGCCCCCUGGUAUUCCGGGGGGCAUGCCUGUCCGAGCGUCAUUGCUGCCCUCAAGCACGGCUUGUGUGUUGGGCCCCGUCCUCCGAUCCCGGGGGACGGGCCCGAAAGGCAGCGGCGGCACCGCGUCCGGUCCUCGAGCGUAUGGGGCUUUGUCACCCGCUCUGUAGGCCCGGCCGGCGCUUGCCGAUCAACCCAAAUUUUUAUCCAGGUUGACCUCGGAUCAGGUAGGGAUACCCGCUGAACUUAAGCAUAUCAAUAAGCGGAGGA
rnacentral:misc_RNA from 1 species